rnacentral:lncRNA from 1 species
UUUCAUCAAGGUUGCUUCCAAGGUACAUUAUUCUUGUUACUCCUUCACUCCUUCCAGAUCUGUUUCGUCGACAUUGACCUUCACACUUCUGUUUAAGUGCUUGCUAAUGACCACCCUUUUUGUCUUUUUUGUACUCAAUUUCAUUCCAAAUUCUCUACAGGUAUUUUAUCAAAAACAAAAGUUAAUUAAUUUACAUUCAUUGUAGGGGAUGUUGUGGUUUUUCAAGUCUAUAAUGAACAUGAAGAAAUUAAAACCAUACCAUUAAAGACACUCCA